AAUAAAUAAAUGAAUAAAUACAAUUUCUUUUACAAAAAUUAAAAAAUAAAAGUUGUUUAACAUAGUGCCUAACGUACGGUAAGCCCUCAAUAAAUGUUAGCCCAGAUCAUAUUACUAUUACAAUGUAUUAUUCAAAUGCCAUGUUUUUUCUUGCCUCUGAUUUCCACAAGGUGGCAGGUCGAGUUCAAAUUGGACCCUGUGGUUCCGUGUCCCAAAGGCAAAACCUAUUUAUUUUAAUUGCUUCAGAAUAACUGGGCCAAAUAUGAAUUAUUCGGGAACAUCUUCAUUGUCUGUAGAAUGUUAUGGUCCAGGCAUCUUACUGUUGCUGUAAAAUCCUUCUUAAUGGAACAUAUGGAUCAUUUAAUUUAAUCCUCUUGUUUCUCACAAUUCCCAGGACCAUCUGCAUUUACAUGAAAUGUAUGUUAACUCUUCCAGGGAUCAGCCGGCUAAGUGAGUACAUUCAAGUCACCUCGUUAUGCACUGUUUGGUUCAUGAAUGACUGUGAAGAGGAGAAAACUAGCAAACUGGAAAGAGUCCUGGGCUCUGUGAUUGGUGAACUGCAGAAGGAUGGAGAUUUGUACACCUCAUUCUGGAGUGGGAGGAUAUUUGGUCUAUUUACACAGCGCUACAAAAAAAAAUGACAAAUGCAGACAUUGAAUAGGGGUGUCUCUAGCCUAUUUGUAAGGGUGUGUUGAGGGAAAUGUUUAUUUUUUUAAUUUUUAAUUUUUUUUAGUUGAAAUAUAGUCAGUUACAAUGUCGUGUCUAUUCCUGGCAGACAGCAUAAUGUCUCAGUCACACAUAUACGUACAUAUACUCCCCUUCAUAUUCUUUUUCAUUAUAGGGGAAAUGUUUAAAUAGUAUAAUCCAACCUUUACUUCUGUGUAUCCUCUCCUUUUUCCAUCUCCCUAAUUUCAUGUCAUAUUGAUAACCUCCAAUUUCUACAGUUUUACUUUGUCUCUAAAGCAUUGGUUUGGAGGCCAGAUCAAACUGCAUCCAAAUCCUGGUCCUCUGCUCAUUGUAGCAGUGUUUCUGGCAGUCAGCAUUUGACAACUACUUAACUUCCUUACACCUCAAUUCUUUUUUAAAAAUUCAAUUUAAUUUUUUAAAUUGAGGUAACAUUGAUUUAUGACAUUAUAUAAAUUUCAUGGGUACAGUGUUAUAUUCCUACUUCUGCGUACCUUACAACAUCAAUUCUUUACCUGCUAAUAACAGCCCCUACCUGAAAGUUGUGAGGAUUAAAUGAAAUAAAUCACGUGAAGAAUUUAAUUCAAUCAGAAGUAGUUACUAGUAAUUGCAUUGGCAUAGCCCUGCCCAGCAAAUGGAAGAGAGUAGGUGUUCAGUAAGCAUUUGUAGAAUAAAUUAUCCCACUGCAGAGGGAUAGUAACUCUAAGACUGGCCUUGGACGUCUUCAAGGAAAACACUGAAAUCAGUGUUAUCUUGUCAAAUGUGUUCUCUGAUGCUGGGAGUCAAAUAUGUAAGUUUGUCCAGACUUAUUUCCUGGCCAUCACUUGAAUUGUGUGACAGGUGAGCAGUCGAUUUACUUAACCUUUCUGUGCCUCAGUUCCUUAUCUGUAAAGCCAGGACGGCACUAGCAUUUAGUGGUUCAGAUACAGAUGGGUGAGUUAUUGAGUUUUCAAUUAGUCAGUUUAAGUAAAACACUCAGCACAGGGUUUGCCCCACCUUAAGUGUUCAAUGAGCGUUGACUGCUAUCCUCUGGCUCUGUUUGGAAGACCUACAAUUGCUUUUGCUUGAUUCACUUGGGGGAUUUUUGGAUGUUGUAAAGUGAACUCUCCUAGUUUGUAAUUAGGAAAGGAGAUAAAAGCGACCUCUUGGCAAUUCCCUGCUCAUGAAACCUUGUAUUUUACAACCCACGGAAAUCACCCUAGAUUUCUUUUCAAACCCACCCCGGCAAACUGACAGAUUCAGAUCUUUCCCACCCACUUUCUGGGCGUCUCCCGUGGGACUGUGGAAGUAAAGCAAGUGUUAGUUGCUUUGUGCAUGAACUCUGUUACUAGUGCUGCAUUUCUGCUAGUGUCAGCAAGCUCAGCUUUCUGCCGGUUCCGUCUACCAGAGGGUCAGCCCUGCUCUGAGACUAGAGUUUGCCUGUUUCUGUGGAUUUUGUAAAGUCAAAAGUGGAAGGAAGGAGAAUUUCAAGUGAGGAGGUGAAUUACAAAGGAGAGGUAGCAUCGAAUGGCUGCUGCAAUAAAGAAUAGAAAAGAAAUCCCAAACCCUCUAAUCCAAGACACCAAAACAGCCCAUUCAGCUGUACGAGUUUUAAAACCCAGCUCUGCACAGAGAAAAUGGGCCAGUGAAACCUACCCGAGUCCUCUUCUGGCACCAGCUUCGUGGAACUGAUGUGGCGAUAAAUAAUUGCCCAGGGUGACUCGCAGAGCUCUGAGCCUGCCCCGAAGUAACAACUGCUACACUGUCAACCACCAGGCAAAUGAGAACUUUGACAAAGGACACUGAGAUCAAAUUGGCUCCUACACACGUGAGCAGGCCACAGUAGCGGGGGAGUGGGGAGAGCAGAGGUCCCGGUGGGGAGCGAGUGAGCAGGAGCCAAAUUCACACCUCCACUUGGAGAACUGCAGCCUGGGCGUCACUGGCCUAUACAGGUGCCCCUGGCCACAUGAACUCCAUGGAGUUUAGAGAUUUUCAACAUGGAAAAUUUAAACUUUUUGUGUUGUUUUGUGUUAGAGAGCCAAGUGCACAAGACAAACUUAGAUCACGUAUUGCACGCUGUUUAAACAGGUGUUGACUGAUCUCUUCAUGUCUUCCUUGGUUGCUGUCAGUCAAAUCAACUCCUUGAGCCCUUAUUCCUUCAAGGACUUAUUGCAUGGUCACCAUGGCCCAGGAACUGUGCUGGGUGCUGGGAUUAUAAAGCUACUCAUUUUCUGACUUCCAAGACUUAUUCUGCAGAAUGUGGAAGAGAAAGUAAAGAUGGAUACCUAGCUAAUUAGCAAAGAUAGCCUGGUGGUAGUGAUGGGGGUGGUGGUGGUAGUGAUAGUAAUAGUGGUGAUGUUGGUGGUAGUGGCGGUGGUGGAUGGGUUUGGGCCACCUGUCUGCUGCAUUUCUUUUUUUAAAUUAAUUUAUUUUUUAUUGCAGUACAGUCAAUUACAAUGUGUCAAUUUCCAGUGCACAGUACAAUGUCCCAGUCCUGCAUAUACACACAUAUAUUCGUUUUCAUAUUUUUUCAUUAAAGGUUAUUACAAGAUAUUGAACAUAGUUUCCUGUUCUAUACAGAAUAAACUUUUUUAAAGGCUAUUUUUAUAUCGAGCUGGCUGCCCCAUUUCUGCAGCUCUUUGACCUCAGACAAGAUUCUCACACUGUUGUUCCUGACUUCCAGCGUUAACAACUAAGAUAUUUGAAGAAACUGCUGAUGAUUAGGUGCUCAGUUAAAGACUAUCCAAGUCCUUAGGGCAGAAGUUAAGAGCCUAAAGCCAGUCCAGUUCAGGUUCAAAUUCUAGCUCUAAACAUACUAGUCACCGACAAACUAUUUAAACUCUUUGUGCCUCUGUUUCCUUAUCUUGAAAUUUGAUAGUAAUAAUUAAAUCAACCACCUUGGAGUACACAGAUUAAAUGGAUCAGUGCAUGUAAGCACUUAGAACAACCCAGCAAAUAGUAUGCACUCUGUGAGUGCUACUCACCACUAACUGUAGUAACACAUGGUAUGCUCUGUAACGAAGCUGCUAAAAAUGCUGUGAACCACUAUGCACCAUUAAAAUGUAUAGAUAUAGAUAGGUAGAUACACGUGUUCAAGAGACACAUGUGAUAUUUGGCUACGUAGGAAAAAAGAACGUUAACAAAACACUGGGAAACAGAAAACCAGAGAAACUGGGAGAACAGAUACGGCUGAGGUCACUGUUCAUUGUUCAUCUGUGGGUGGUAGGAUGACAGGUAAUUCAUUUUCUUCUUUUUUCUGAUUUGUGUUUUGUAAAAUUCUAACAAUAAUUGAUUUACUAAUUUUAAAACAUUUUUUAAUGAAAUAUAAGGAAGUUUGGUUAUUAAAAGGUGCCCAGAGCUCAAAUGAAGGAUUGAUGAGACCUGUCAGGGAAGGAUUCUCUGGGAAUGGAAACUCUGAGCUAGGUAUUAAAGGAAUUCAUUGGUAGGAGCUUUGAAGACAUAAAGAUUGGCACAGAGAUGAGGACAAGCUCCCAAGAACUGCCCAGUUAUGUAGCCUUGAUUAUAUGGGAAAGUCAUGCAACAAAGAGUGCCUGGGAUACGUGGGUCACCAACCCUUUGUGGAGAGCCUUCUCCGGGCCUGAAUAGUAACAGCCAACCCUUAAUGCCCACUUGUUUCCUAUUUCUGCAGUAUCUAGUGGAAAGUUAAGCUCCUCCCUCUCUUUCUCUCUCUCCCCCUUGCUCUCUCUCACUCUCUCUUUUUCUCUUUCUGAUUUCAGAAAUCUCAUUGUGGGCAAUAGCUAGAGACAAGUUUAAGUCUUCUUUGUGAUGGAACCCACAGCACAGAUGCUCAUUGUAUUGCCUGCUUUCCAGAUAUAGACAGUUUUUUAAAAAGAUGGGAAUAAUUUAUGGAACUCAUAGUGCCAGGAAGGCCCCCAAGGAGGGAUGACUGGAUCUGUUGUGGAAGACACGAGGAGUUAAAUGAGGAUGAAAGCCACCCUGACAAAGAAAGCAGUGACAGCGUCUUUAAAUCUUCGGAGACUGACUGAUCAGGAGGCCCUCAGACCGGAAGUGAACGGUUGCCGCAUGUUGUCUGCUCACUGAUCGUGGGCUAUCAGUAGCUAAGAAAUCGAGGAUGUGCAAGGCAGGGCAGGUGAAAGGGCAGAGUUGGAACACUGAACAAACUUUCCAGCAUUACUACAUAACUUCCUUGAUUCGUGGGGGAAGUGUGCUAUUUUUCGUCUCUGCUUCCCCACGCUGCGCAGAGCAGCGGUACUGAAACCAGUCAGCAACGGGGCCUGCAGCUUCAAAAGGUCAUGCUGCUGCGGGUGCAUUUUGAGUUGCAGUGAUAGCAGACACGCAGGCAAACAUCCAGAGGACUGGCAGGGCCCAGGCCUGAGCCGCAGGGGAAUCCGCCGUUUCUGGAGCUUCUGGGAGGGGAAUACGAGUCAAGAGAGGAAACCGAGUGAUGAGGAGGAAGGCCAUGCAGAGCUAUGGGGAGAAGCAGCAGAGCCCCCCUUUGCUCCCGAGACAUAUCUAAUAAGGCAGUGGUGAAAGAACAGCAUGUCUUGAUGGUCUACUCUGUGCUCAGCACUAUGCUGCCUGCUUUAUAGAGGCUCUUAGGCACAGUGGAAUGUCAGGUCUGGGGUAUGAGGGCAAAGCAGGAAGCAGUGAAGGCAAACUGUGUCUUUGUCCUAACUUCUACCAACUACUCUGAGAAAUCGGGAAAAUCAUUCCAUUUCUCUGAGUUCUUGUUUCAUCUUUAGUUCAAGGUUUGCAAAUACUAACAACUACAUACAAAGUAGAUAAAAAACAAAUUUCUUCUGUAUAGCACAGGGAACUAUAUUCAAUAUCUUAUAGUAACCUAUAAUGAAAAAGAAUAUGAAAACAUAUGGAUGUAUAUGUCUGACUGAAACAUUAUGCUGUACACCAGAAAUUGACACAUUGUAACUGACUAUACUUCAAUUAAAAAAUAAAUAAAAAGUACAUUUGGUAUUGGAAAAAUAAAGUUGUCUUUAAUUAAAAAUCAAAUCAAAUCAAAUUAAACUAAUAAUAUCUAUAUUAAUCAUUGAGCCCAUCAAUAUUAAUUGAAAGCCUACUGUGUGCUAAGUGGCAUAAAAGCUGGAUAUAUAUAUGUAGGUAAAUUAAAAUAAACCAGUGUCUUAUAAGUAAGUUCUGGGAAUGUAAUGUACACCAUUGUGAUUACAGUGAACAAUACUGUAUUGCUUAUUUGAAAGUUGCUAAGAGAGAAAAUCUUAAAAGUUCUCAUCACAAGAAAAAAUUUUUGACUGUGUGUGUGAUGGAUGUUAACUAAAUUUAUCGCGGUGAUCAUUUUGUGGAAUUUACAGUCUAUGGAUACAAGCAAGUGUGAUAAAUUAUAUAAAAUGCUU